ACAUUGGUGAUUCAGUGGUAGAAUUCUCAUCUUCCAUACAGGAGACCAGGGUUCGAUUCCCAGCCAGUGAA
rnacentral:tRNA from 1 species